GCCUCCGUAGUUCAAUGGAUAGAAUGACAGAUUCCGGUUCUGUUGAUAUGGGUUCGAUUCCCGUCGGGGGUA
rnacentral:tRNA from 3 species